rnacentral:rRNA from 1 species
AUUGAACGCUGGCGGCGUGCCUAACACAUGCAAGUCGAGCGGUAACAGGUGUAGCAAUACAUGCUGACGAGCGGCGGACGGGUGAGUAACGCUUGGGAAUCUGCCUAUUAGUGGGGGACAACCCGGGGAAACUCGGGCUAAUACCGCAUACGCUCUACGGAGGAAAGCCGGGGACCGCAAGGCCUGGCGCUAAUAGAUGAGCCCAAGUCGGAUUAGCUAGUUGGUAGGGUAANGGCCUACCAAGGCGACGAUCCGUAACUGGUCUGAGAGGACGACCAGUCACACCGGAACUGAGACACGGUCCGGACUCCUACGGGAGGCAGCAGUGGGGAAUAUUGGACAAUGGGCGAAAGCCUGAUCCAGCGACGCCGCGUGGGUGAAGAAGGCCUGCGGGUUGUAAAGCCCUUUCAGUGGGGAAGAAAGCCUCGACCUAACACGUCGGGGUCUUGACGUAACCCAUAGAAGAAGCACCGGCUAACUCUGUGCCAGCAGCCGCUGUAAG